UACGGAGGGUGCGAGCGUUGUCCGGAAUCACUGGGCGUAAAGGGCGCGUAGGCGGCGCGAGUAGUCAACGGUGAAAGCCCGGGGCUCAACCCCGGGUCGGCCGUCGAUACUCUCGUGCUUGAGCACUGUAGAGGCAGGUGGAAUUCCGGGUGUAGCGGUGGAAUGCGUAGAGAUCCGGAAGAACACCGGUGGCGAAGGCGGCCUGCUGGGCAGUAGCUGACGCUGGGGCGCGACAGCGUGGGGAGCAAACAGG
rnacentral:rRNA from 1 species